UUGACCUCAAAUCAGGUAGGACUACCCGCUGAACUUAAGCAUAUCAAUAAGCGGAGGAAAAGAAACUAACAAGGAUUCCCCUAGUAACUGCGAGUGAAGCGGGAAAAGCUCAAAUUUAAAAUCUGGUAGUCUCUGGCUGCCCGAGUUGUAAUCUAGAGAAGCAUUAUCCGCGCUGGACCGUGUAUAAGUGUCCUGGAAUGGACCAUCAUAGAGGGUGAGAAUCCCGUCUUUGACACGGACUCCCAGGGCUUUGUGAUGUGCUCUCAAAGAGUCGAGUUGUUUGGGAAUGCAGCUCUAAAUGGGUGGUAAAUUCCAUCUAAAGCUAAAUAUUGGCGAGAGACCGAUAGCGAACAAGUACCGUGAGGGAAAGAUGAAAAGAACUUUGGAAAGAGAGUUAAACAGUACGUGAAAUUGCUGAAAGGGAAACGCUUGAAGUCAGUCGCGUUAGCUGGGGAUCAACCUUGCUUUUCUGCUUGGCUUACUUCCCAGUUGACGGGUCAGCAUCAGUUUUGACCAAUGGAUAAAGGCUAGGGGGAAUGUGGGCACCUCCGGGUGUGUUAUAGCCCCUUGGUCAUAUACAUUGG
rnacentral:rRNA from 1 species